rnacentral:lncRNA from 1 species
UCACUCUCUCCUUAUCCCCUCCCAAAACAACUCUCUCCUGAUCCCCUUUCUCCUUCACGUCUCUCCUUGUCACUCCAGAAUUGUUGACUUCCGAUGAACUCCGGUUACUUCCGCUGGUAAUGGCAUUGCUUGUCUCACUCCCAAGCUCCCCUUACCUCUAUUCAUUUCGUGCCACCACCUUGCUCAUCUUCCCUGCACGCACCCCCGCCGCUUACGUCGUUGGUGCGGCCACGGGUCUGAUCUGGGUGGUGUCGUUGUCGUCGGUGUCCAUGUAGGUGAAUAGGUGAUGAGGGCGUGGAUCUUGUCCCCUGCGGCGGGGCGGAGGUGAGCGAUGCAACACGGACAUCUCCAGUUUGGUGAGGCAGCCAUCGAUGUGAGAGUCAAAGGUGGAGGAGCUGUCGCAGUUGGGUUGGCGGAGGGUGGCUCGUCGCCCCUAACAUUUUUCUUCCAGCGCAGCCCUACAAAUGUUGUUGCCUUCGGACUCCAAAAUCAACCAGAAUCAUGCACAACUGAAGUGUGCCACUAUAGAAGGACCAUGAAGUGGUACCAGCUCCUCUCUGUUUUCUUUCAAUUUUGCAAUGCUUAGAUAAAAUUGCUUGUUCAGUUAUGUGUCCUGUCUUUUUUUAUCUCCCAGUUUCCAGAGGAAAUCUAUUACGCACAAAUUAUUCCAUAUGUUUGUUGCUAUUAGUGAUGAUUGCUGAUGGUAACUUGUUACUUUGUUAGUCAAAAUUUUGAAUUUGUUCAGGCCACAUACAAUUUUUUCGUGGCAUGGGACCGACAUUGACAGUGUUAUACUGUUAUGCCCCUUAUCCCACAUGAAUUUAUACACAUAUUUGUGAGUAGCUGUAGUUUUACUAUUUCUCAAAGAGUAAUUAAAUUUUAAUAAGUAAAUAGUAAAAUAGGUCUGAUUGUGUUGUACAUAUAAAAGAUAACAAUGCGCGGAUUCUUUCACUAUAAGCUUGUACUCUAUAAUAAGCCUCAAACAUGAGAUACCAUGUUCUUUUGAUGUUUGGUGUUAUUUAAUAAUUACUGAGGGUAACUGUAAUCCAAUGUAUAUAUAUUGUAAGAAACCAUAAGCUUAGAUGGGUGUAAAUCUUUUACCAUUUUUUGGAACUAUUUCGUAUUUCCAUCAAAUGGUCAUGCAUUUUGUCAAUAUUUCCGUAGAAAUAGUAGACUACUCCCUCUGUCCGGAAAAGCUUGUCCCAAGCUUAUCCAUCAAAUGGAUGUAUCUAGCACUAACUUGGUGCUAGAUACAUCCAUUUGAGGGACAAGCUUUUUCGGACGGAGGGAGUAUAUUCAUCCUGCCAUAUAGUGUGUAGCAUUCAUGUUACCAUAGAUAAGUAAAUUUGAAGAGAUUUUGCAUCGAACUAAUUAUCCACGUACUUGUGCUUACGUAAAAUGCUGGUGACAUCAUACGACAAGUGUGUGAAAGUGCGUUAUGUCGACUAGAGGGGGGGGGGGUGAAUAGGCGAUUUUUAUGAAUUCUUCACUGAGGAAUUUGCCGGUGAGGAAAUUCCUUAGCGAAGAACUAUUAGCAGCGGAAUAAGUACUCAUAAGUAAGUAUGACAGAAUACAAGCAUGGUCAUCAUGAUGAAAUGAAGACUAGCAUAGAGUACAGGAAGCGUAAUCACAGGAUAAGACAAGAUGAAGACAAACAGACUGAAGAAAUUGAACUGAGGAAAUUGAGAAAGUCUUCAGUCAAAGUCUUCAAACACAGAUAUGAACAAACACUCAACAUAGUAAUGAGGAAUUGAAAAGGGUUGACGAAAUAGAACCAGUAGGUUGGUGAAGACAAUGAUUUGGUAAACCAGUUCCAACUGCUGUCUCAGUUGUACGUCUGGUUGGAGCGGCUGAGUAUUUAAACUCAAGGACACGCAGUCUCGGACACCCAGUCUCUGAGCACGCAGCUCAGGACAUCCAGUCCUCACCGUAUUCUCCUUGAACUAAGAUCACACAGAUCCCGUCCAAUCACUCGUGGUAAGUCUUCAGGCGACUUCCAAACCUUCACAGACUUGGUCACUCGACGAUCCACAAUUCCUCUUGGAUGCUCUAGACCUUGACGCCUAACCGUCUGGAAGAAGCACAGUCUUCAAAGGUAACAAGCGUCGGAUCCACGCAGGAUCAAUUUCUUCAGUGAUGCUCAAUCACUUUGGGGUUUGUAGGUGUUUGGGUUUGGGAUUUUUCUCACUUGAUGAUUUUCGCUCAAAGUUCUUGGAGGAUGGGUUGUUCUCAAAUGACAAGUGUCAAGUUCUCUCGGAGCAGCCAACCAGCUAGUGGUUGUAGGGGGCGGCUAUUUAUAGCCUAGGGAGCAGCCCGACAUGAUAAGACAUAAAUGCCCCUCAAUGAUAUGACCGUUAGGUGGAUAAGAUAUUUUGGGACAGCUGGCGCGCAACACAGCAACAGUCGGAAAUUUGACUCUCAAAUUCCUCAGGGCUAUCAUGUUCCUCACUGUGUAGGUAAUUCACACUGUGAAUUCCUAACUCCUCAGUCAGAACAAAUUCAUCAGCGACCAGAAGAACUUCGUCUUUGUCACUGAAGAAAGUGACUGAACUGUAUGAGAUUUCCAAAGGCUUCACUCGAAGGGAUUGGUAGGUGUAGGAUUUUGAGUUGAGCAUCACAUGGAAAAUUUUCCUUAGUAUUUCCUCGACCCCCUUUAACAGUACGGUGUUUCCUAUGACUCAAGAAGGAGAAAAUGAAACUACGAAAACAAAAGUCUUCACGCUUCGUGUUCCACAAAUGAAUACCAAGUCUUCAAGGUCACACCAAUUUCGUCACUUUCAAAAUCUUCAGAAAGUCUUCAGAAUAUCAAAGUCUUCAGUUGAAGAACUUCAUUUUUAGGGGUCGACUUCCUCUGUAAAUAUCAAACUCCUCAUAGACUUAUAGACCUGUGUACACUCACAAACGCAUUAGUCCCUUAACCUAUAAGUCUUCAAUACACCAAAAUCACUAAGGGGCACUAGAUGCACUUACAAUCUCCCCCAUUUUGGUGAUUGAUGACAACAUAGGUUAAGUUUUCAACGGGGAUAAAUAUAUGAAGUGUAUACACUGAUAUUGAGGAAUUUGAUUACAAGAUAUAGAAGAACUCCCCCCUGAAGAUGUGCAUAGCGAGGAAUUUGCUUUUGAAGCAUUGCACAUUUGAAGAGUUGAAUCAUGGAGAUCUCCCCCUAUAUCUUGUAAUUUAUACACGCAUUUGAUAUAUAAUAUGAAGAAUUGAAAAUGCAUGAUGAAAUAUGGUGCCUGAUGAGAUUCAGCAUGCGUGCAAUGUCAUUAACGAGGAAAUAAGCAUGCAGAGCAUAAUGCAGCAAAAGUAUCAGCGCACCAUCGGGUUUAAGAUUACAACUCAAUCGAAAUAAAAGUUUCAAAAGAACGAGAGUUGUAACUUAAAAAAUGCCCUUAAUAUAGACCCGCUUGAAGACUAACUCAGAUUUCUCCCCCUUUGUCAUCAAAUGACCAAAAGGAUUGAAACUGAGGACUAACGCCCGUGAAGAAUUUCAAGUCGAUGGAGGAGCGCCAGCGUUGUCGGGGUUGUUUGUUGUAGCAGGGCCUGCCGCAGUGUCGUCCAAAUCUUCAUACUCAUCAGUGUCACGCGAUGAAGAAUAAGAGCUGGCCACCAAGGAAGGAACUGUGACCUUCUUGAAUUUCUUCGGUGGAGGUGCAGACCAGUCAAAUUCUUCCUUGAGACCCAUAUUCUUCAGAUCAGCAGCGCUGUAGACGUGAGAGAGAACAGCCCAGGUACGGUUGAAGGUUUCAUGGAGGUAGUAUUGGUUUUUCUUCACUGCAUUGUGUGUUGAGGUCAUGUUGUGAAGAGUUGAACCAAACUGACGCUUGACCCAUUUAUGAUUGCGAUCAACCUUCUGAUGAAGACUGAGGAGUAACUCACGGUCAGUCAUCACCCUGGGUGUUGUGGCUUGAGGAUUUUGCUUGGCUGAGGUAUUUGCGGCAGAGUCAUGUGUGGCAGAAUCGUCAUUGGUAGAGUAAGAUGCAGCCUUGCAAAAUUGACCAUCCAAUGGGCGAAUGCCUUCAUCGAUCACAGCAGCGGCCUUGCCUUUAUCAUUAGCUGAUGAAACUGUCCGUUUGAGGACUUCAAUGGGAGGCAAGUAGCUACCGUGGUUCAGAGUGUCAGCUUCGUAAUUCAGUGAAGAUCUUGCCCUGAUGAAUCUCAUUAUCCAAGGAGCAUAGGGCUUCAGCUCGAAUGGUGACAUAGCAAUAUUGGCUAGAGUCCUCAUGAAGAAAUCAUGGAAGUUUAUGGGAACGCCAUGAAUGAUGUUGAAAAGCAUAUUAUUCAUGAUGCCAACGACUUCUUCAUCAUUUGAGUCGUGGCCUUUGAUGGGACUCAUUGUCUUCGUUAGAAUUCGAUACACAGUCCGAGGCACAUAGAGUAAUUCCUUGACAAGGGAUUUGGUUCGUGGUGCCUGCCUUGGCUUCAAUGGCUUCAUCAGCACUUGCAUAUAGUGAUUUGAAAGUUCUGGUUCGUUGUAGAUACAAUGAGCAUCAUCAAGUGGAGGACUGAGUGGUAGAGCACGAAGCAAUUCAGUUGCAGGUGCCUUGUAGUGAGUAUUUUCAGACAUCCAGUCUAAUACCCAGGAGUUCACGUCUUCAGCGUCUCCGGUGAUGUGCAGAGUUGCAUAGAAUUGAAGAAUGAGUUCUUCAUUCCAGUCAUAGAUAUCAAUGCAGAAAUUCAGAAGUCCUGCGUCGUGAAGAACACUGAGGACUGGCUCAAAGCCGGGCAGAGACUCCAUGUCCACAUGAGGAAUAUGUGCAUAAUCGAAGACUUUGUUUUUGUUGAAGAGCACUGAGGAAUAGAAAUUGGCUUGGCUGGCAGUCCAGAAACGCCUCUUCCUUAUGCGAGCAGAAUCAUAUGGAUUAUAAUCAGUGAAGAAUACAUGCUCGGCAAAGAAAUCUUCAGCCUUGAACUUCUGUUUGCUUGAGAACGGAUUCUUUUGCUUUGGCAGAGGGAUGUCAGUGAGUUGCAUCACCACCUCAGGAAUCGCGAGCUCAGGUUCUUCAGGCUGAGGAAUUUCUUGUUCCUCAAUAGGUGCAGUCUGAGGAUCUGCAGCAGCAGGUUCAUCAGCACUAGUGGCUGGAAUUUAUUCAUGCAUAGAGAGAGUGGGUUGAGUUUCUUCAGAGCCCAUUUGAACUGUUGGUGCAGGGGACUGAGGAAUCUGUUGGAGCGGGGUGAAGAGAGGAGUAUUGGGAUGCUGACUUUCUCAAAAGUCAUCAUUCAUCACAGGUGUGGUGCACCCUAUAUCCACAUCUUUAUCUUCAAUUUCCUCAACACCAGCCUCUUCAGCUGUGAACUGAGGCAUAGGUGAGGAAAUGACUGGCGUUGAAGGGAUUGCGUCCACUUGAAUUUCUUCAUCAACCUGCUUUGACGAAGCAGCAAAAUGAUGUUCUUCAUCAGAUCCGAUAGGGAUCUCAUAGUCUUCUCCAAAAGGAACAAGGUCCUUUGAUGGCAUGGAGGAAAUUGCAACAGCAUCAAUUGGAUUUUCGAGUGAGCUGGUCAUUGGCUUCAUUUUCUUCACAGCCGAAGAGUUUGACACAGCUGAUGCCUUCCUUUUCUUCACUGCAGCUCGCUCUGCAGCCUUUGUCUUCUUCACAUCAAAUGCACAUGGAAGAAUUGUAGUUGGUGUAGGUGCAGAUGGAGCUGAGGAAUCUGGUUGAUUUUCUUCAGGCGCAACUAAUGCAGUUGCCCUGACUUCUUCAGUUUCUUCAGGCGCACCACUAGUGGAUGCCCUGGCAAUUUCUUCAGCGGCUAGAAUAGGAUCAUCAGCCCUGGAACUGGCAUUUUCAUCAGCAGCCUGAAUUUCAUCAGCGGUGCUGGCAUGUUCUUCAGUCGGCUGAGCUGAGACUUCAGCCUGAGGAAUUUCAUGUUGCGUUGGAGCAACAACAUUGGUGAAUUUCUUCGUCAGGUUGAUGAAUCUGACUUUGGCUCCUUGCCAAUCAGCAUAGUAGGCAUCAAAAUCCUUGUUGAGGGCUUGGAUUUCAGACUGAGCCUGGAGAAGUUCCUCAGGUGUCAUUCUGACAACGUUUUUCUUCAGGAGCUUCUCCUUUCUGUAUUGAGCUUUCUUAAUCUCUCUUGUCUUUUCAAACUUCCAUUUCUCUUUAGUGAUGAAAUGGGUCAGCAUGUGACUUUGACCGGCAGUCAGAUGAAAAUCAGGCAUGGGGGUGUUUGGAUCCUUGUGCCAGAGAUCAAUAUAAUCGAGGAUUUUCCUUGGAUCCAACAGCAGUGGCACAGAUGUGCCUUUGGCUCUAGCGGCCUUUACCUGUCUGUCUCUAAUGAUUUCUGUGAGUUCAUCAUCAGAAGCUUCAUCAUCAGAAGGCACAUGGAAUGCGACCUGUUUCUUCUUUGGACUUGGCCGAGGACCUCGUCUAGCUGUUGCUUUGGUCUUCAGCAGAGUCGGGCCAGAUGAUGACUUUGGUGCAGCAGAGGAACUUGCUGAAACACCAGAGGCAAUUGAGAAACCAGCAGUCCUUUGACAUGUAGUCAGAUGCACAGGAGCUGAGGACUUUGAAGGAGCAGUAGUAGUGUGAGGAAUUUGCCGUGAGGGCGCUGCUGAGGAACUUGGCCGUGAGGGCGCUGUUGAGGAACUUGGCCGUGAGGGCGCUGUUAGUGACGCACUUGGCUUACGAGCAGGCUUCUUUGGCAUGGAUUUCCUCGGUUUGACUGAGGCCUCAGUAGCAAUAGCAGUGGCAGAAUCCUCAUUGAAUUUCUUCACUGCCUCCUUGGCCUGUCUUGCCAAUUUGGCUUGGCGCUUAGCCCAUUCUUCAGGAAAGUCCUCACCACGUUUGAUGCUAGUGGGGUCAGCUACUUGGCCAGGUGCCAAUGGAGCUCUUGGGCAUGGAGAAUUGAGGGCAAAUUUCUUCAUGUACUUUGGAGUCACAUAUCUGUAUUCCCUCCAUUCCCUUGCCCAUCUCCGUUCAAUCUUCUGAAUGCGCACCUUGCGCUGAUUUUUGUUUUCUUUGCCAUAUUUUGCUUCAUCAGGUGUGCAAUAGUUAGCAUAAAUUUCCUCAGGGAUUUCAAACACAGUCAUAACCUCAGGUUUCUUUCCUCCUUUCUGCGGCUUCUUACCGUCUGCCAUAUUCUUCAGUUGAGGAAUUUGAACAAUUGAGUUCUCUGAAGAAGUAUGCAGUUUUUCUUCGAGGAACGCUGCAAAUGAGUUAAGUUGAUGAGAACCUAGUGAUUCAGCAGCAGACAUGAGUACCUGUGAACAGAGUACAGGUGCGAGGAAUUUGGAGAGGUCAUAUGCGUUCUGAGAAGGUUUUUGAAAAGAACAAGUUUUGAGGAAUUUGACCAGAUGAACCUUGAGGAAUUUUACUAAGCGUUCUUGUCUUAGGUUCCAGAGUUGUACAGAUCGAAGAUCCACAUAAUUAGGGAAUCUUGAAGAAAAUGGUUGCUUAGAGAAACAGUUCAAGAUCAUAUGAAGUGUGUGGUGUUCGUAUGUGUGAAGAUUUGAAGAAUAAACACCUUUGAAGAUUUUCAGGAAAGCUUGAGAAUCAAAGCGAGUAAUAAAAGUAACUUUUAAUUACCCGAAAUGAAGAACACGACGAACUAAGAAGAACAAACGGGAAGUUCGUCAGGUUAGAUCUUCCUUGCCCUAACUCGGCGAAGGAAGACAGCUACGGCGACGGCGGAGUGAAGAUUUCCGCGGUCGGCGUGAGUACGACGGCGACGAGGUCGAGGCAGUGAAGCUCUUCCUCACCGGCGGCGAUGGAGUAGCGGUGACGCUAGGGUUUGAGGAGCUCGAGCGGGAGAGAGAUGGUCGAGCAGAGUAAAUGAAGUGAGGAAGGGGAGAGGGGUAUUUAUAGACACGGUGAAAAACUGUUCGCCCGAAGAUUUAGGACGAACGUGCCCCUGCCCUUUCUCCUUCACGCGACAUGUGUCACCCACGUACUGUGUAGUGAAGAUCAUGUACGAUCGUGGGUGAAUAGAAUAAUACAUCGUAGGAUGCGGAACAGUUUGAGCGGCAAAACCGAAAAUUUGGAUAAGUUUUGUUUUAAAGUUUCGCUCGCAAUUUCUUCAGCUGCCAAGGACACGGUGAAGACUUUGAAUGAGUUUCAAAUAGAACGCACAUGAAGAAUUUGUGAAUAGAUUGGGUUGAGUAUAGCAUAGAGGGGAAGGGUCCGAUCACAUUCACUUAGUAGAAAAAGCAACUUGAAGAAAUAGCUAUAAGUGAAUGCUGUAGAGGACAUAAACUCAUAUAUAUAUAUAUAGCCAAUGAAGAAAAACGAAGGAAACAGUGAAGGUUUUGCAAAGUUGAAGAAUUUAAAAAAAAACUGAAGAAUUUCAAAACUGAGGAAAAACUCAAAUUAAAGAUUUUCAACUUUUUGUGGUGGCGUGACCCACCGUAUAAGAAUGAUGAUUUCAGACACCGCGUACAAUUGUCCUAGGGUUCUGAGAAUCAAAUUCUUCAUUAAUUUCUUCACACUUAGAGUGUUAUUCUUCAUUGAUUGAAGAAAAACGUUUCUUCAUGUGUUGCACAUCUAAGUUAUCAAUUUUGCAUAAGUGUUAGGAUGUGUGUCCUUUUCAAAGAACAUUCGAAGAUUCUAAGAUAUUUAGCUCACACCGCAACUUGCUAAAUCUCUUCUCAUCCAAGGGCUUAGUGAAGAUAUCAGCUAGCUGUUCUUCAGUCUUCACGUGCUCGAUGGAGAUGUCGCCCUUCAACACAUGAUCACGAAGAAAAUGAUGACGAAUUUGAAUGUGCUUUGUCUUCGAGUGCUGAACUGGGUUGUGAGCAAUCUUGAUGGCACUCUCAUUGUCGCAGAGGAGAGGCACAUUCUUCACGUUAACGCCAUAGUCCUUGAGCGUUUGCUUCAUCCAAAGCAGUUGAGCACAGCAAGAGCCAGCAGCAAUGUAUUCAGCUUCCGCAGUAGACAGUGAUACGCAGUUCUGUUUCUUCGAGGACCAACAGACCAAAGAUCAUCCGAGGAAAUGACAAGUGCCAGAAGUUGACUUGCGGUCCACACGAUCACCAGCAUAGUCAGAGUCAGAAUAUCCAAUGAGAUCAAAAACAGAGCCCUUGGGGUACCAUAAUCCUAGUGUUGGUGUGUGAGCUAGAUAUCGAAGAAUAUGCUUCACAGCCUUAUGGUGUGAUUCCUUCGGUGCAGCUUGAAAUCGGGCACACAUGCAAACACUAAGCAUUAUAUCUGGCCUAGAUGCACAUAAGUACAAUAAAGAACCAAUCAUGGAGUGGUAUACCUUGUGAUCGAAGUCAAUACCAUUUUCAUCAGUGCAUAGAUGGCCUUUUGUGGGCAUAGGAAUUUUGACACCUUUGCAAUCUUGCAUGUCGAAUUUCCUUAGUACAUCUUUGAGGUAUUUCUCCUGAGAUAUGAAUAUGCCAUUGUGCUGUUGACGAAUUUGAAUACCUAAGAAAAAUUUCAACUCUCCCAUCAUAGACAUUUGAUAUUCUUCACUCAUCAUAUAGGCAAAUUCAUCACUGUAACGUUGGUCAGUACAGCCAAAGAUAAUAUCAUCAACAUAUAUUUGGCACACAAACAGUUCACCAUCAUAAGAUUUAGUAAAGAGAGUAGGGUCGAGUGAACCGGGUGUGAAGCCAUUCUUCACGAAGAAUUCCUUCAAUGUAUCAUACCACGCCCGAGGGGCUUGCUUGAGGCCAUAGAGGGCCUUAUUAAGUUUGAAGACUUUGUCAGGAUUCUUUGGAUCUUCAAAACCUGGGGGUUGAGCAACAUAUACUUCUUCCUCAAGCUUACCAUUGAGGAAUGCACUUUUCACAUCCAUUUGAUAUAAGAUGAUAUCAUGAUGAUUAGCAUAAGCAAGUAAUAUGCGAAUAGCCUCAAGUCUAGCAACAGGUGCAAAAGUUUCAUCGAAAUCAAUUCCUUCAACCUGUGUGUAGCCUUGAGCUACCAGUCGUGCCUUAUUCCUUACCACAAGGCCAUUUUCAUCUUGCUUGUUGCGGUAGAUCCACUUUGUGCCAAUGAUAUUAUGCUUGUGAGGAUCUGGACGUUUGACCAGUUCCCAGACAUUGUUGAGCUCGAACUGAUGUAAUUCUUCUUGCAUAGCCUGAAUCCACUCCGGCUUCAAAAAUGCUUCAUCUACCUUAGUGGGCUCUGUGAUAGAGACAAAAGCAUAGUGCCCACAAAAGUUAGAUAAAUGUGAAGCUUUUGAGCGUGUGAGAGGACCUGGCGCUUCAAUGUCAUCGAUGAUCUUGUCAACUUGUACUUCUUUUGCAACGCGAGGAUGAGCUGGUUGACGUCGAGGUAUUUGAUCAUUUUCCUCAGCACCAUUAUCUUCAGAUGCGUCAGCUCGAUGUUCUUCGCGUACUGGAAUGAAUUCUUCAGCAAAUUCUUAAGUAGGAAUGACAUCUUCAGUUGCCUUGAACUUGAUAGAAUCCUCAGGUGCUGGUUCAUCUAACACAGAAGGUAGGUCCUCUCUUUGCGAGCCAUUAGUUUCAUCGAACCGCACAUCUACAGUUUCAACAAUCUUGUGAAGAACAAUGUUGAAGACUCUGUAGGUGUGCGAGUCCUUUCCGUAACCAAGCAUAAAACCUUCAUGUGCUUUCGGUGCGAAUUUUGAAUUGUGGUGAGGAUCUCUAAUCCAACAUCUAGCACCGAAGACUUUGAAAUAACUCACAUUGGGUUUCUUGUCAGUGAGGAGUUCAUAGGAUGUCUUCUUGAAGAAUUUGUGAAGAUAUACUCUGUUGAUGAUGUGGCACGCAGUAUCAAUUGCAUCAAUCCAAAAACGAUCAGGCGUUUUGUAUUCAUCAAGCAUAGUGCGAGCCAUCUCAACAAGAGUUCUGUUCUUGCGCUCCACGAUGCCAUUUUGCUGAGGAGUAUAAGGAGCAGAUAAUUCAUGAGUAAUACCAAGUUCAUCAAGAUAGUCAUCAAGACCGGAAUUCUUGAACUCAGUUCCAUUAUCACUUCUGAUGUGCUUGAUCUUCACACCAAAGUUGGUUGAAGCCCUCGAAGAAAAUCGUUUGAAGACUUCCUGCACUUCAUGUUUGUAAGUAACAAUGUGUACCCAUGUAUAUCGAGAGUAAUCAUCAACAACGACAAAACCAUAUAGAGAAGCAACAUUAGUGACUGCUGAGUAAUGAUUAGGUCCGAAGAGGUCCAUGUGAAGCAAUUCGAAUGAACGAGUAGUGGUCAUGAUAGUCUUCGCUGGAUGCUUGGCCUCGAUCAUUUUUCCAGCUUCACAUGCUCCGCAUAAGUGAUCCUUGAGGAAUUUGACAUUCUCAAUGCCAAUGACAUGUUUCUUCUUCGCAAGCGUGUGCAAAUUCCUCAUGCCUGCGUGACCAAGUCGUCGAUGCCAUAGCCAGCCUUCUGAAGCUUUUGCAUGUAGGCACACGGCUGGUUGUGGUCCUGUAGAGAAAUCAACAAUAUACAAAUCUCCUCUCCUAAAGCCUUCGAAGACUUUGGAAUUGUCAGCUUCCAUAAUCACAACACAUCGAUACUUGCCAAAGACAACAACCAUAUCAAGAUCACAAAGCAUUGAGACUGACAUGAGGUUGUAUCCUAAGGACUCAACAAGCAUGACUUUGUCCAUGUGUUUAUCCUUAGAGAUCGCAACCUUACCAAGACCCAAUACCUGACUUUUGCCUUUGUCAGCAAAGAUGAUAUGCUUCAGAUGUGAUGGUGAUAAAGGAGAAUCCAUCAAAAGAUUCUUGUCACCAGUCAUGUGAUUCGUACAUCCACUAUCGAGGACCCAUUCAGUGGUUUUGGGUUAGUCAUCCUGCAAAUGAAUUAGUGUAACUUACAAUCUCAUAUGCUUCAUCAGUGAAGAAUAUGAUAUUAAGUUCAUCAGAUGAAUUUCAUCAAGCGGUAAACAGAUAUAGCAGUAUGAGGACGUGUGAAAUGAAAGUUCAUUUCAUCAUGGUUAGCCUGCGUCCUUUCAGGCAAUUUUGUCAGGUCCCCAGCAAAUUCUUCAGACGUUAAGGCACGUCUGGAGACCUGACCCUGCAGAAGAGAUUAGUUCUUUUUCUUCACCACCCACAUCUGAAGGGGUGGCAAAGAGUUCAUCACUCUGCGAGCACCAUACGAGAACGGUGGCAUAGAAGCCAAACCAUUUCAUUUCACAUAAGAGGGGUUAGGGUAAGCAUAUGAAUAAGCAGAGAAAUUCUUCGAGGACUUAUGAACAUAAUGAUUUGAAGAAUAAUAUGCAUAUUCGUAGCCCUUAGCUCUACCCUGCGAAACAGACUUGUUAGCACGAUGAUAAUCAUAUGAGGACUUUGAUCCAUUUGAGGAAUUUGAUCCACGUGAGGAAUUUGGUCCAUAUGAGGACUUGGAUCCAUAUGAAGAAUUAGGUCCAUAUGAAGAGUUUGUUCUGGGGUUCCUCUUCUUCACAGGUGGUGUCAUGAGGACAUUCACCUGAAGACUUUCAACAUAACUUUUGGGAACCCAGAUUUUCUUCAUAGGGGAACCAUUCCUGCAGUUAGUCCCAACAUAUCUAGCAAAUACUUCACCAUUCUGAUUUUUGAACAGUUUAUAGUUGGAGUCAAAUGACUCAUCAGAAGAAUGAGGAGAUUCACAUGUAAAGCCAGAUAACAUGGAUGGAUCAACUGGAGGUCCCUUUGCAGCAACCCAUGAGGUUUUGGGGUACUGCUCGGGCUUCCAAUAUGUUCCAUCAGCAUUAAGUUUCCUCUCAAAGGCAAUACCCUCUUUCCUAGGGUUUCUGUUGAGGAUCUGCUUUUUGAGCACAUCACAGAGAAUCUGGUGCCCUUUGAGGCUUUUGUACAUGCCUGUCGUGUACAGUUCCUUCAGCCCUGCAUCAUCAGUGAUACUAGCAAUGUCCUCAGAUGAGGAAUUAGUGAUAGCAGAGGCAGGUGAAGAAUUUGUAACAGUUGAAGCAUUUGAACAUUCAGGUGAAGAAUUGGAAGAUUCACGUUCAAUGCACUUUAAGCAUGGAGGAAUAAAUUCUUCCUGAGAAGUGCUGAUUUGUUGAGCAAGUAAUGAAUCGCGCUCCUUCUGAAGAUCUUCAUAACUCACUCUUAGCUUCUCAAGAUCUUGCUUUCUUUGAAGAAAUUCAUAAGAAAGUUUCUCAUGAUCAGAUAAGAGAGUGUUAUGAUGACUUUUAAGAUUAUCAAACCUAGACUGAAGUCUCUGAAGAUUUUCAGUCAGGGCUUUAGUGCGAUUCAUUUCUUCACCCAACAUAUCAUCACUUUUGUCUAGCAUGUUUUGAACCUUUUCCAAGACAUGUUGUUGUUUGGUGGAAAUGCAAACAAGUUUGGUAUAGCUAGGUUCAAUAUCAUCAUCAGAUUCAUCAUCAUCAGAUUCACAGUCACUAAAUUCAGAUGAGGAACAUUCGGUUACCUCGACACCAUUUGCCAUGAGACAUGAUGCAGAAGAUGAUGAUUCUGGUUCGAAAGUCAUCGUUUUGAGAGAUUCCUUGAAGUCCUCAAACCAAGGAUCAUGACGGGUUCGAUGACCUUCAUAGACGUCGGAGAUUCGGUCCCAGAUAAGCUUGCAUUGCAAAGAUGCAUAAUGAGCCUGAAUUGGUCUCUGGAUAGACAGGAACAGAUGAUAUCCUUCGCCAUGCAGUCAAGUCGAGUGUAUUUGCGAAUAUCAUCUGUGUUCGCCGACUUCCAUAGAUCAGUAAGGCCAAUCUCAGUGACGGUCCACAGCUCGCUGUCCCUUGCCAUGAGGCGCUUCCUCAUCAUGGCCUUCCACUUGGGAUAAUCAUGACCGUCAAAGAUAGGGCAUGUCACUUUCUUCAUACCUGCGGUCGACAUAACUAAAACUCCAGGCGGUUAAACCAAAAUCACACAGAACAAGGGAGUACCUUGCUCUGAUACCAAUUGAAAGUGCGUUAUGUCGACUAGAGGGGGGUGAAUAGGUGAUUUUUAUGAAUUCUUCACUGAGGAAUUUGGCGGUGAGGAAAUUCCUUAGCGAAGAACUAUUAGCAGCGGAAUAAGUACUCAGAAGUAAGUAUGACAGAAUACAAGCAUGGUCAUCAUGAUGAAAUGAAUAUUAGCAUGGAGUACAGGAAGCGUAAUCACAGGAUAAGACAAGAUGAAGACAAACAGACUGAAGAAAUUGAACUGAGGAAAUUGAGAAAGUCUUCAGUCAAAGUCUUCAAACACAGAUAUGAACAAACACUCAACACAGUAAUGAGGAAUUGAAAAGGGUUGAGGAAAUAGAACCAGUAGGUUGGUGAAGACAAUGAUUUGGUAAAUCAGCUCCAACUGUUGUCUCAGUUGUAUGUCUGGUUGGAGCGGCUGAGUAUUUAAACUCGAGGACACGCAGUCCCAGACACCCAGUCUCUGAGCACGCAGCUCAGGACACCCAGUCCUCACCGUAUUCUCCUUGAACUAAGAUCACAUAGAUCCCGUCCAAUCACUCGUGGUAAGUCUUCAGGCGACUUCCAAACCUUCACAGACUUGGUCACUCGGCGAUCCACAAUUCCUCUUGGAUGCUCUAGACCUUGACGCCUAACCGUCUGGAAGAAGCAUAGUCUUCAAAGGUAACAAGCGUCGGAUCCACGCAGGAUCAAUUUCUUCAGUGAUGCUCAAUCACUUUGGGGUUUGUAGGUGUUUGGGUUUGGGAUUUUCCUCACUUGAUGAUUUUCGCUCAAAGUCCUUCGAGGAUGGGUUGCUCUCAAAUGACAAGUGUCACGUUCUCUCGGAGCAGCCAACCAGCUAGUGGUUGUAGGGGGCAGCUAUUUAUAGCCUAGGGAGCAGCCCGACAUGAUAAGACAUAAAUUCCCCUUAAUGAUAUGACCGUUAGGUGGAUAAGAUAUUUUGGGACAGCUGGCGCGCAGCACAGCAACGGUCGGAAAUUUGACUCUCAAAUUCCUUAGGGCUAUCAUGUUCCUCACUGUGUAGGUAAUUCACACUGCGAAUUCCUAACUCCUCAGUCAGAACAAAUUCAUCAGCGACCAGAAGAACUUCGUCUCUGUCACUGAAGAAAGUGACUGAACUGUAUGAGAUUUCCAAAGGCUUCACUCGAAGGGAUUGGUAGGUGUAGGAUUUUGAGUUGAGCAUCACAUGGAAAUUUUUCCUUAGUAUUUCCUCAACCCCCUUUAACAGUACGGUGUUUCCUAUGACUCAAGAAGGAGAAAAUGAAACUACGAAAACAAAAGUCUUCACGCUUCAUGUUCCACAAAUGAAUACCAAGUCUUCAAGGUCACACCAAUUUCGUCACUUUCAAAAUCUUCAGAAAGUCUUCAGAAUAUCAAAGUCUUCAGUUGAAGAACUUCAUUUUUAGGGGUCGACUUUCUCUGUAAAUAUCAAACUCCUCAUAGACUUAUAGACCUGUGUACACUCACAAACGCAUUAGUCCCUUAACCUAUAAGUCUUCAAUACACCAAAAUCACUAAGGGGCACUAGAUGCACUUACAGUGUGUAUUUUAGACUUUUAGUUCAUAAUUUUAGAAAAAUUCUUUGUAGAUUAUGUUCUUGACCCCAACAUCCUUAUUGUUAUCUUUAUCAUUUACCAUUACUUGCAGUCCAUCCCCUUUUCCGACUCUUGAGAAUGGUACGUAUAGAUGUCCAUGUGUAAAGACUUGUUCAUGUAGAUAUAGUCCAACCUUGUUUGGAGAGUGCUCCUGCCUUUUGUUUAUUGUCAUUGCAAAGCAUGAUGAGAUAGGGUAUUGUCUCCUUUUUAGAAGGAACAACCACACCCAUUCAACUGGUGACAUGAUUAUGUUUGGAAUAUAGACCUUUUCCUCCACAUGUGAUCCUGUUAUUUAUUAUCUGUGCUUUGAUGAAUAUGUUUAUACUGAACAAUGGCAUACCAUCUAUUUUUUUCUAGUGUACCAUUCACAAUCAAGGCUGCAACUUCAGUUGCAGAUGGCAUACCAUGUCGUUUUCCAUCUGUGCCACACUUAUUUGUUAGUUUUAAUCUGGCAUUGUGAUAGUCACAUUCUUUGAAUGUGUGACUUGCCAUUCUGAAUGUUUUUGCUAGUAUAUUAUCUCUAUCCAGCACAUUCUUAAGGGCCUCAAUGAUGUGGGUAUCUAUUGACUAAAGGAGCAAUAUAGCUGGAAAAAUAAUUAUAUGUAUAGUUAGGAGUUCUGUUCGAAUCAAACCUUCAACACAAAACUAUUAACUUGAGGGAAAUGUAAGUACGGCAAGGGAGUUCAUUAGUCUGGCUUACAAUGAAUCAUGCAAAUUAAUUGCUUUUUUGCAUAAGAUGGUAAUACCUACUGGAGGUGGGGCGAUCACUAAAAGGAGUCGAUUGGACAAUCAAGCUGAGAGAUGGAGAUUUUGAGCCAACCUUGAAGAAGACAAAAAAGUUUUU